rnacentral:tRNA from 1 species
CGCCGCCUUUCACCAGGGUAGUAAAUGGAUUGCCACCGUUGUCCUGGUAAUAAUAUCCUAUCAAUCCCCGGAUCGUGUCCGGAGGCGGCGCC